rnacentral:rRNA from 1 species
UGGGGAAUAUUGGACAAUGGGGGCAACCCUGAUCCAGCCAUGCCGCGUGAGUGAUGAAGGCCUUAGGGUUGUAAAGCUCUUUCACCCGGGACGAUAAUGACGGUACCGGGAGAAGAAGCCCCGGCUAACUUCGUGCCAGCAGCCGCGGUAAUACGAAGGGGGCUAGCGUUGUUCGGAAUCACUGGGCGUAAGGCGCACGUAGGCGGACCGUUAAGUCGGAGGUGAAAUCCUGGGGCUCAACCCCAGAACUGCCUUCGAUACUGGCGGUCUCGAGUCCGGAAGAGGUGAGUGGAACUGCCAGUGUAGAGGUGAAAUUCGUAGAUAUUGGCAAGAACACCAGUGGCGAAGGCGGCUCACUGGUCCGGUACUGACGCUGAGGUGCGAAAGCGUGGGGAGUAAACAGGAUUAGAUACCCUGGUAGUCCACGCCGUAAACGAUGAAUGCCAGCCGUCGGGCAGCAUGCUGUUCGGUGGCGCAGCUAACGCUUUAAGCAUUCCGCCUGGGGGAGUACGGUCGCAAGAUU